rnacentral:rRNA from 1 species
AGCGAACGCUAGCGGCGGGCCUAACACAUGCAAGUCGAACGAACCCUUCGGGGUUAGUGGCGGACGGGUGAGUAACACGUGGGAACGUGCCUUUAGGUUCGGAAUAACUCAGGGAAACUUGUGCUAAUACCGAAUGUGCCCUUCGGGGGAAAGAUUUAUCGCCUUUAGAGCGGCCCGCGUCUGAUUAGCUAGUUGGUGAGGUAACGGCUCACCAAGGCGACGAUCAGUAGCUGGUCUGAGAGGAUGACCAGCCACACUGGGACUGAGACACGGCCCAGACUCCUACGGGAGGCAGCAGUGGGGAAUCGUGCGCAAUGGGCGAAAGCCUGACGCAGCCAUGCCGCGUGAAUGAUGAAGGUCUUAGGAUUGUAAAAUUCUUUCACCGGGGACGAUAAUGACGGUACCCGGAGAAGAAGCCCCGGCUAACUUCGUGCCAGCCGCCGCGGUAACAC